AGUGAACGCUGGCGGUAGGCCUAACACAUGCAAGUCGAACGGCAGCACAGUAAGAGCUUGCUCUUACGGGUGGCGAGUGGCGGACGGGUGAGGAAUACAUCGGAAUCUACUUUUUCGUGGGGGAUAACGUAGGGAAACUUACGCUAAUACCGCAUACGACCUACGGGGGAAAGCAGGGGAUCUUCUGACCUUGCGCGAUUGAAUGAGCCGAUGUCGGAUUAGCUAGUUGGCGGGGUAAAGGCCCACCAAGGCGACGAUCGGUAGCUGGUCUGGGAGGAUGGUCAGCCACACUGGAACUGAGACACGGACAAGACUACUACGGGAGGCAGCAGUGGGGAAUAUUGGACAAUGGGCGCAAGCAUGAUACGGCCAUACCGCGUGGGUGAAGAAGGCGUUCGGGUUGUAAAGACGUUUUGUUGGGAAAGAAAAGCAGCAGGUUAAUACCCCGCUGUUCUGACGGUACCCAAAGAAUAAGCACCGGCUAACUUCGUG
rnacentral:rRNA from 1 species